rnacentral:tRNA from 1 species
GGGCUGGUAGCUGAGACGGUGUAGCGGCGGCCUGAAGAGCCGCAGACGUGGAUUCGAGCGCCACCCGGCCCA